rnacentral:rRNA from 1 species
UGCCAGACUCCUACGGGAGGCAGCAGUGGGGAAUAUUGGACAAUGGGGGGAACCCUGAUCCAGCGACGCCGCGUGUAGGAAGACGGUCCUCUGGAUUGUAAACUACUGUCCCCAGGGACGAAGAUGACGGUACCUGGGGAGGAAGCUCCGGCUAACUACGUGCCAGCAGCCGCGGUAAUACGUAGGGAGCGAGCGUUGUCCGGAAUUACUGGGUGUAAAGGGAGCGUAGGCGGGGAUGCAAGUUGGGUGUUAAAUCUACCGGCUCAACUGGUAGUCGCACUCAAAACUGCAGCUCUUGAGUGAAGUAGAGGCAGGCGGAAUUCCUAGUGUAGCGGUGAAAUGCGUAGAUAUUAGGAGGAACACCAGUGGCGAAGGCGGCCUGCUGGGCUUUUACUGACGCUGAGGCUCGAAAGUGUGGGGAGCAAACAGGAUUAGAUACCCCGGUACGU